AAAUGAACUUAGGGCAUACAGGUGGAUACCUUGGCUCAACAGGCGAUGAAGGACGUGCAAAGCUGCGAAAAGCGUCGGGGAGCUGCUUAGAAGCUACGAUCCGGCGAUAUCCGAAUGGGGCAACCCCCAUGCCGUCAUGGGCAUGGACACCGCGAUGAAUUCAAUAGUCGCGAGUGAGCGUACCCGGUGAACUGAAACAUCUAAGUAGCCGGAGGAAUAGACAUCAAACGAGAUUCCCGUAGUAGUGGCGAGCGAACUGGGAACAGCCUAAACCGUUUACGUGCAAGCGUUCGGGCGUUGCGUAAGCGGGGUUGUACGACAACCAUCCGAGGUCCGAAUACCUCGGCACGAGUUACCAAAUCGAUCGAUAAUCGAAGCCGGCUGGAAAGCCGCACCAGAGUAGGUGAUAGUCCUGUAGGUGAAAUCGUUCGAUCUCGUGGUGUUGUUCGUGAGUAGGGCGGGGCACGAGAAACCUUGUCUGAAACUGGGAGGACCAUCUUCCAAGGCUAAAUAUUCUGUUGAGACCGAUAGUGAACGAGUACCGUGAGGGAAAGGUGAAAAGAACCCCCGAAGGGGAGUGAAAUAGAAUAUGAAACCGUAUGCCUACAAACCGUGAAAGGCCAAUGCGCAAGCAAGGCUAAUCGCGUGCCUAUUGAAGAAUGAACCUGCGAGUUACUUGUAACGGGCUUGGUUAAGGUGUUGAGCCGGAGCCGUAGCGAAAGCGAGUCUGAAUAGGGCGAAUUUGUCCGUUGCAGUAGACCCGAAACCGGGUGAUCUAUCCAUGGCCAGGUUGAAGCAUGAUUAAUCUCAUGUGGAGGACCGAACCUGUCGUUGUUGAAAAAACGUUGGAUGAGCUGUGGAUAGGGGUGAAAAGCCAAUCGAACCCGGAGAUAGCUGGUUCUCCCCGAAAUAGUUUGAGGACUAGCGUCGUUUGUUAACCCACGGGGGUAGAGCACUGACAGAGCUAGGGGUCUUACCGGAUUACCGAACUCCAUCAAACUCCGAAUACCGUGGCGAAUUAAGCGGCAGUCAGACUGUGGGGGAUAAGCUCCAUGGUCAAAAGGGAAACAGCCCAGAUCAACAGCUAAGGUCCCUAAUCGAUGCUCAGUGGUAAAGGAAGUCUUGUCGCAGAAACAACUAGGAGGUUGGCUUAGAAGCAGCCACCCUUGAAAGAGUGCGUAAUAGCUCACUAGUCGAGUGGCGAGGCGCCGAAAAUGUAACGGGGCUCAAGCAUCGAACCGAAGCUUUGGGAUGUGUAAACAUCGGUAGGGGAGCGUUGUGGCGUAGGCUGAAGCACGACCGCGAGGACGUGUGGACGAACCACAAGUGCGAAUGCAGGUAUAAGUAGCGAUAAAAGAGAGUGAGAACCUCUCUCGCCGGAAGUCUAAGGUUUCCUGAGCUACGUCAAUCGUCUCAGGGUGAGUCGGGAGCUAAGCCGAGGCUGAGAAGCGUAGGCGAUGCACAAGCAGUUCAUAUUCUGCUACCACCGACGACCGUUAAGACUCUGUCGAACAGCAUUCUCGAUCGUGAAAGCGAUCGGUGGUGCCGUUCGUCAUGGUCUUUGAAUUGAUGGGGUGACGCAGGAAGAUAUGUCAUCGCGCUGAUGGAUAUGCGCGUCUAAGCCGGUAGGUGUUGCUGUAGGUAAAUCCGCAGCAUUUAACACCGAGAAGCGAAUGCGAGGCUCUUCGGAGCCGAAGUGACAGACUCUACGCUGCCAAGAAAAGCCUCUAAAUAGGAUCGUAGGUGCCCGUACCGUACACCGACACUGGUAGACUGGCAGAGCAUGCUAAGGCGACGGGAGAACCCCUGUUAAGGAACUCGGCAAAUUGACCCCGUAACUUUGGGAGAAGGGGUGCCUUCGUCGGACUAGACAUUACGUCGAAAGCUGAUGGAGGUCGCAGAAAAUAGGCCCAAGCGACUGUUUAACAAAAACACAGGUCUCUGCGAAUGCGAAAGCAGACGUAUAGGGGCUGACUCCUGCCCGGUGCUGGAAGGUUAAAGGGACGGGUUAGCGCAAGCGAAGCUCGGAACUGAAGCCCCAGUAAACGGCGGCGGUAACUAUAACCGUCCUAAGGUGACACAAUCGUUGCCUCGCCGCGUAGUAAUAUGCGGCUGUACACUUGGCUAUAUGCGGGAACAUCCUUUAGAGCCCACGCCUACUCGUCGACGGCUCGUCGGCAGUAACAAUGGCUGGGAUUGGACAAUCCGCAGGAAACGUGCUCUUCGAUCGCUUCACGGCGUUCGUGGAAAGCGGAUCCUCAGAGACUAUACGCCAGGCAUCCAACGGUAUCGAAAGGUACGAUAACGAUGAACCUCGACCCUCAAUGGGUGGUUGGAUUCGUCGAUGGAGAGGGUUGCUUCUUCAUCGGGGUCCAGAGAAACCCAACGGUCAGAAUCGGCUUCCAAGUCAUUCCGGAAUUUCGCGUCGUUCAACAUAAACGCGAUCUCGACGUGCUCCACGGGCUGAAGAAAUUCUUCGGUUUCGGGCGCAUUUGUCAAAAUCACGACGAUCGAUGGGAAUACCGGGUGAGAAAACUCGAGCAGCUCCGCGAGAUCGCGGCCUUUUUCGAAAAGUACUCGUUACGAACGAAAAAGCGCAUCGACGCUCAGAGAUUUGCGAAGGUUUUAACACUGAUGGAAGAUGGCCGGCACCUGACAAAUGAAGGCUUGAGGGAGAUCGAAGAUAUCGCGCUUUCGAUGAAUACCGGUAAUCGUCCGCGAUUGCAGGCAUUAUUGGAUGAAGAUAGAGUCCACUCCGGCGUGAAAGCGUCGGAAGAAAAGUGAGCGAAAUUCCUUGUCGGGUAAGUUCCGACCUGCACGAAUGGAGUAACGACUUGGGCGCUGUCUCGAUGGGGGGCCCGGCGAAAUUGCAGUACCAGUGAAGAUGCUGGUUACCCGCAGCAGGACGGAAAGACCCCGUGAAGCUUUACUGUAUCCUGAUCUUGGGUUCUGAGACUGUCCGUACAGGAUAGGUGGGAGUCGAUGAGACGAGGGCGCUAGCUUUCGUGGAGACAACGUUGGGAUACCACCCUGAUAGUCUUGGGAUUCUAACCGGCCGCCGUUAUCCGGUGGCGGGACAGGGUCAGGUGGGCAGUUUGACUGGGGCGGUCGCCUCCUAAAGAGUAACGGAGGCGCCCAAAGGUUCCCUCAGAACGGUCAGAAACCGUUCUCACAGAGUGCAUAGGCAUAAGGGAGCUUGACUGCGAGACGGACAGGUCGAGCAGGUGCGAAAGCAGGGCUAAGUGAUCCGGCGGUACCGAAUGGAAGGGCCGUCGCUUAUCGGAUAAAAGCUACUCCGGGGAUAACAGGCUUAUCUCCCCCAAGAGUUCACAUCGACGGGGAGGUUUGGCACCUCGAUGUCGGAUCGUCGCAUCCUGGGGCUGUAGUAGGUCCCAAGGGUUGGGCUGUUCGCCCAUUAAAGCGGUACGCGAUCUGGGUUCAGAACGUCGUGAGACAGUUCGGUCCCUAUCCGCUGUGGGCGUAGGAGAUUUGAGGAGCGUGGACUCUAGUACGAGAGGACCGAGUCGAACGAACCGCUGGUGAACCGGUUGUUCCGCCAGGAGCAUGGCCGGGUAGCUACGUUCGGAUCAGAUAAACGCUGAAAGCAUAUAAGCGUGAAACUGACUCCAAGAUGAGAUCUCAAUCCCGUAAGGGUGAAGAGCCGUGGGAGACUACCACGUUGAUAGGCCGGGGGUGGAAGCAUCGUAAGGUGUGGAGCUGACCGGUACUAAUAGCUCG
rnacentral:rRNA from 1 species